rnacentral:rRNA from 1 species
GUGCCACAGCCGCGGUAAUACGUAGGGGGCAAGCGUUAUCCGGAAUCACUGGGCGUAAAGGGUGCGUAGGCGGCCGAUAAAGUCCGGGGUGAAAGGCUACGGCUCAACCGUAGUAAGCCUUGGAAACUUAUUGGCUUGAGUGCAGGAGAGGUAAGUGGAAUUCCUAGUGUAGCGGUGAAAUGCGUAGAUAUUAGGAGGAACACCAGUGGCGAAGGCGACUUACUGGACUGUAACUGACGCUGAGGCACGAAAGCGUGGGGAGCGAACAGGAUUAGAUACCCUGGUAGUCCACGCCGUAAACGAUGAGUGCUAGGUGUCGGAGCCGACAGGCUUCGGUGCCGCAGCUAACGCAUUAAGCACUCCGCCUGGGGAGUACGCUCGCAAGAGUGAAACUCAAAUGAAUUGACGG